UCCAAAUAAUUCCUUACUUUGCCAAAUGUGGAUAUGACUGCCCAAGGCCUGCAGAAAACCUAACAAACUGUGUGCAGAUGAAAGCUAAUGAGAUGCUCACAAUUCAUUUGGAAGAUUUAUGUGUUUUCUCCUUGCUGCUCUGCUCUGCAAUAGUAUGUGUUAUUGCUGCAGAGGCUUGUGUCAUCACAGACCGAGAAUUGUACAAAUGGAAUUCUUACCGCAGCAGUCAAUACUAUGAAGAAUGGCUUUGUCAAGGCCUAAGGCUUUGCCUUCAAACUGAGAAACAGCUGUUUUCCUGGACAUGUGUGCAGCUAAAGGUUCUUCUGAAUCAUUUCCAGGUAUCAUACAGUCACUCUGGGAAGACCCCAGUUCCACUUCUUGUGGGUAGAUCCUCUCUGAAAUAUCUGAGGCUUGGCCUCUCAAGUCUCCCUCAAACGCACCAGGCUUUGACAUAGAUUUUCUAUCAGCUGUAGCUUUUGCAGACUUAAAAAUGAGAAAACAAGUUGAACCAUGAAAAAUGUAAAAAGAACUUCAGCGGGUUACAGAACAACAAAAGACUUAACCAAACACCACUGUACUUCUUGUCACCUUUUUGCACAAAAAGAUUAAGCACUGUAUUGUAUCAUUUUAAUCCUCACUUUCAAAGUAAGGGUUUUAUUUUGAACGCCAUCAGAUGUAUCAAUGCCAUAAUACAAAGCCCUCUUAGACUCUGAAAAUAAACCGUUCUAAUUAAG